UGUGAGGCUCAUCGUCGCCGCCGCCGCCAUUUUCUUCCUUUCGCGCCUUUUUUGCUUCCGUUACCUUUUCCUAUAACAGAACAAUCAAUAAUUAUUGGGGGGAAAAAAACAAAACAUUCUAUUAUUUAUUUACUUAUGCGAUGAAUACACGCCGCCUUGAAGCUAUUCAAGAUCGAAAUAAUCAUUUAGCAGGUAAUAACUGGCCAUUAGCCAAAUGAUUUCAAUGUUCUCGCAAUGUAAUGUGUAUUGUCGGAAAAAGUAGUGUCCUUUAGAGAUAAUGAGAGACGCAGGUGACAAAGAUUCGUUACGAUAAAGAAGCGUGGGUUAUUAGUUGUGUGGGGGAAAGAGCGCCGUAAAGCGCGGGGCCGGCGCCAUACGGCCGAUAUUCCCGUGGCAGCCUGCGGAACGCGGUCACCGCGCAUACGUAACCGCCAAGCGUCGUCGAAUAAUCAACGUUUAAAAGACAAUAUUCGAGCGCAUUUACACAUAACCUAAUUUAUUAUUAAAAUGAAUAUAAAAAGUGUAGGUUAGUCUAUCACUAUACAAACAAAUUUAUUUCAUAAUAAUAGCUACUAGCGUUAGCAUGUACUUAUUUAGGUUACGAAUAAGAAAAGAGACACAAGAUAACAUUCCCAUGAGUAGUUUUCCUUUCAUUUCACGGUGUUAUUCAUAAAAUACCAUCGAUUUUGGCGUUGCCCUCUAGUUUAGGGCAAGAUGUAAACAAUCUACCCCUAUCACACUAAUGACUAGGUGUAAAACAAAGAACGCGUAAGUACGGAUCAGUACAAAACGAGUAAGUGCAUGACAUGAUGCAAAUUAUGCCGGGUCAUUGACGUCCUAAGUAACUAUUAAAGUAAAAUCAUAAUAAUGCGCAAGUGUUAGAAACAGUGUGGGACCUAGUUUUGGAAGCAAUAGGAAAACGUACCAAAUCAGGUUUAGUUAGGUACCUACCAAACAUUGGCAAGGUAACUGACAGCCAAACACCGGACACUUGACGUUCGCCGGCCAUAUUACCGAUCAAGCGUCACGCUGCCAUGAGCAUAUGCCCCAAGAAAACUUAAAAAUAGACGAUGGUACGCAAUAAAAUCAAUAACAAAUAGAUCACUGAAAGCAUAAUUAUCAUCGUCCGACGCGCGACUGACUGACCGGCGACGACACAGGCGAGUUUGAAAACGAAGAUGGCGCGGGCUUCCACACGCGUUCUGUGAUUGGCCGAGACAGUCGGCCAUUAAAUAACUGUGACUAGCAUGUGGAAAAUAUUGUCAAUUACAAUAUUGGAUA